UUUUGUUAAAAGCUUCACAUAGUGAAAGUUGAAGCUCAGAAACUGCUGCUGCAAAUAAAGGUUUCAAUUUAAUUUCUCCACAAAAUAUCCAUUUAAGAAUCCAACAGCUGUUCGAAUGCGGUACCCACAUUCUCCAUAUUCAAUUAUUUCACAUAAGAUGCAUGAUUGUUGUUUCAUUUGGUGUCAUCCAAAUUGUCACUCAGGCCAAUUUCUAUUAUGCUAUCAGAAUAGUCACUUUCUAUUAUCAUAAUUAACUGUAUGCAUGUAUCAAUUACAUUUCUUCUGGGUAUUUUUGUUUUUUAUAACUAAGGUUUAUCAUGUGGUCAUUAAAUAAAAAUUAUAUAGUGUGCAGCAAUUCUAUGACAAAAUCCAUACG
rnacentral:lncRNA from 1 species